AACCUUCCCAUAACUCAGGGAUAGCCUUUCGAAAGAAAGAUUAAUACCUGAUAGUACUUUUUCAAGGCAUCUUGAAAAAGUUAAAGAUUUAUUGGUUAUGGAUGGGGAUGCGUUCCAUUAGAUAGUUGGUGAGGUAACGGCUCACCAAGUCUUCGAUGGAUAGGGGUUCUGAGAGGAAGGUCCCCCACAUUGGUACUGAGACACGGACCAAACUCCUACGGGAGGCAGCAGUGAGGAAUAUUGGUCAAUGGGCGAGAGCCUGAACCAGCCAAGUAGCGUGAAGGAAUGAAGGUCCUAUGGAUUGUAAACUUCUUUUAUAGUAGAAUAAAGUGAUCCACGUGUGGAUUUUUGUAUGUAUACUAUGAAUAAGGAUCGGCUAACUCCGUGCCAGCCGCCGC
rnacentral:rRNA from 1 species